rnacentral:rRNA from 1 species
GACGAACGCUGGCGGCGUGCCUAACACAUGCAAGUCGAACGGUCCGCCACUCAGCACUGUGUUUCCAUGGAAGAAGCCUGAAAAAGAAAGAAGUCAUAAAGGCAGGAACCAAGGAAAUAGAGAGCUGAGUGGCGGAUAGUGGCGGACGGGUGAGUAACGCGUGGGCAACCUACCCAUAAGAGGGGGAUAACAGUUGGAAACGACUGCUAAUACCGCAUACGCUAUGUGGAACACAUGUUCCAUAUAGGAAAGAUGGCCUCUGAAUAUGCUAUCACUUAUGGAUGGGCCCGCGUCUGAUUAGCUAGUUGGUGGGGUAACGGCUCACCAAGGCAACGAUCAGUAGCCGCCUGAGAGGGUGAACGGCCACACUGGGACUGAGACACGGCCCAGACUCCUACGGGAGGCAGCAGUGGGGAAUAGUUGCGCAAGUGGGGGAAACCCUGGACGCAGCGACGCCGCGUCGAGCGAAGAAGGCCGUUAGGGUUGUAAAGCUUACG